rnacentral:lncRNA from 10 species
UGUGAGGCUAUGCUUGUCUAACAGCUGCACCAGGGCACAGGAAUGGUGCAGCAAGCUAGGCUAGAGGGCUCGGCCUAACCACAUCACACCCAGCAUCUCACUUGAGACAAAUCUGUCGUCUGAGCAUAUUGAAGCCUUGCUGUGACUCGACUGGUUGAAGGACUUGCGAAAUUGCACGGUUCUGAAGAGACAACCCGAGGAACGAGGAUCCAGCAAGAAAUCCCCCCAAACUUGAUGGAAUUCUUUCUCCACCACUGCUGCAAGAGGACCAGAUCUCCCUCUGCCAACAGAUGGGGCGGGGUAACACUGGAAAUAUGUUACAGGCCAGGUUCAGAUGCCACAAGAGUAGCCUCAAGAUUUUGCACAUAACUUCGGAAGAAACCCCAGCAUAAUAGAAAGGUCCAACAGUUGAAACUAUGCAUUCCAAGUAGAAUCUGGUUGGAAUAAAAGGAUCUGAACCAGCUUUAAUCAUCAAAGGAAAAAUAUGCUGUUUAUAAUAUUGAAAUAAAAAUAGGGAAGAUUUCAAUUCUUUGGGAUAAUUACCCAGAAGUGGAAUUGCUGGAUCAUAUGGUAAUUGUAUUUUUAAUUGAGAAACCUCCAUACUGUUGUCCACAGCAUUAUACUAUAUUGCACUCCCAUCGGUGGUGUGCAAAGAUUCCAAUUUCUCCAUAUCUGCAUUAACACUUGUCUUUUUUUUAAAUCACUGUUGUUUUGAUUUGUAGUUCUUUGAUGACUAGGGGCAUUGGGCAUUUUUUCAUAUACCUGAUGGUCAUUUGUAUGUCUUCAUUGGAAAAAUGUCUUUUCAAGUCCUUAAUCCAGUUUUUAAUCAGGUCAUUCAUUUUUUUUUCUUUUUCUAUUGCCUUGUAGGAGAGCCUUCUAAAUAUUGGAGAUGACCCUUUAUCAGAUAUAUGUGUUUCAAAUAUUUUUUCCCAUUCCAUUGGUUGUCUUUUCACUCUGCCAAUUGUUUCCUUUGCUAUGCAUAAGCUUUUUAGUUUGAUAUAGUACCAUUUGUUUAUUUUGUUUUUGUUACCAGAAUUAAAAUCAGGAUCCAAAGAGAUAUUGACAUUCUCAUGUCUGUUGCAGCGCUAUUAAUAACCAAGAUGUAGAAACAACUAAAGGUCCAUCCACAAAUGAAUAGAUAGAGAAAAUGUGGUGCACACAUACAAUGGAAUGCUAGUCAGCCUUUACAAAGGAGUAAAUUCUGCAAUAUGUCACAACAUGAAUGAACUUUGAGGACGUUAUGUUAAAUGGAAUAAGCCAGUCACAGAAAGAUGAAUACUGCAGGGUUCCAAUUACAUGAGGUAUCUCGAACAGUCAAAUUUAUAGGAUCAAACAGUGGAAUGGUGGUUGUCAGGGCAGGGGAAAGGGAAAAUAGAGUUACCAAUCAGUUAAGCAAGAUGAAUAAGCUUCAGAGAUCAGCUACACAACACUGUCUUUAUAAUCAACAAUAAUAUGCUAUACACUUAAAAUUUGUUAACAGGGUAGAACUUAUUUAUGUUAUGUGUUCUUACCACAAGAAAAUAAAACUUUUUUUUUCUUUUGAGAUGGAGUCUCACUCAGUCGCCCAGGCUGGAGUGCAGUGGUGCAAUCUUGGCUCACUGCAACCUCUACCUCCCAGGUUCAAGCGAUUCUCACGCCUCAGCCUCCCAAGUAGCUGGUACUACAGGCAGGUACCACCACACCUAGCUAAUUUUUUGCAUUUUUAGUAGAGGUGGGGUUUCACCGUGUUAGCCAGGAUGGUCUCAAUCUCCUGACCUUGUGAUCCACCAACCUCGGCCUCCCAAAGUGCUGGGAUUACAGGCGUAAGCCACUGUGCCCAGCCAAAACUUUUUAGAAAGUAUGAAAAAUCACACUUUUGUAAAGUGCGGGAAAAUCUUUUGUUAAGAAAAUAUGGCUAAGGGGAUAAAUGAUGUUUGCAAUUGUGUACAAUGCUCUAGGAGUUGAAGUUUGCGAAGAAACCAAUUUUUUCAAAUAAGCAUUUAAUUUAUUCAUUCAAUAAUUCUAAUUAUGUACCUGGCCGUGUUUUAAGUAUUAGAUGCAGGAAUGAAAUGACAGAUUAAGUAUCUUUAUUGCAUCAUGUAUUUAAAAGGUGGGAGACAGAAAAUAAAGAUGUAAACAAAUACAUAUGGCCAUUUCUCAUGUUAGUAAUUGCUAUGAUGUGAUUAAAGCUCAGUAGUUGGAUAGAGUGUUUCUAAAGGAGGAGUGGUCAGGAAAGGCUUCUAUGAGGACCGAGUGAAGAGAAGCAGAGAGUCAAGUGCAAACCGAGGGGAGAUUAUUCCAGGUACAGAAAUGAGUAAGUGCAAAGGCACAGUGAGCUCAGCAGGUCCUCGGGACAGGAACCGGGAAGAAGUGAUGGGGGCAGACAGAGGCACAAAGCAGGCCAAGGUCUGGCAGAUGGCACAGGGAAUGUUUUUAUUCUAACUUCACAAAGAAGUCGUUAGAAGGUAAAAACCUUUCUCCACUCUAAGUGGAGGGUGAAGCUCUAAUCUGCUUUUAAAGAUCAGGGAAGUUGCUGUUGAAAAGAUUUAGUGGGCUCUAUUAGUAACACAAAGUCUAGGCUUGAUACUCUGAGAUUCCGAAACAGAUAUCCAGUUGUGUAAGAGUUAUGAUGAAUAAGAGAGAAACUUAUUUAUGUUACAUUUUAAAAAUUCACACCAAAAUAAAAGACAACUUAGAAAACACGGAUAGUAGACUUAACAGGAACUCCAAUUAAUGAAUAUUUAAAUAGCCAAUGAAUAUAUUAAAAUAUGCUGCUAAUAUAAAUAUGCUGACUAAUGUCAUUGGUCAACAAGGGAAUGCCCAUUAAAAAUCACAGUCAAUUCCACUUCGUCCCUACCAGAACUGCUAAAAGCAAACUAAUCCACAGCAGUAAAAAUCCUCUUUAAGUAUGUGGAGCAACUAGAACUGUCACAGACUGCUGGUGGGGCUGAAGCCGCUCGAGAAGUCUGCUUGGUACUAUCUGCCAAAGGGGUGCUGGGCUGGCUGACCAGCUUGCGAGAUGCACCACUGGUUGCUUGAAAUUGGCAAAGGUGAAAAGAUUUGCACCUCAGAAAUUGGCAAGUGCUGUAAAUCAGAGUGCUUUUUCUUCUUUUUUCUCAGACUCUGGUUGUUAAACACCAUCAGCAUCCAGCAUCCUCAUACUCCUAGCUGGGUCAUCUAUGAUCCAGGCAUUUCUAUCUUUGGUAAAGUAUGGAAUAUUCAUAAAAUGGAAUAUCAUACAGCAAUGAGAAUAAAGUAAUAACAGGCAGCAUCAUGGCUGGGUCUCAGAAACGUAAUGCUGGGGCACAAUAAGCCAGAAAUGAAGGGCUUAUAAUUGUGUGAAGUUCAAAGUUAGCCUAAACAAACCUGUAGUUUAGGCUAACCACAGAAGUGUGGUAUUAUAAAUCGGAAUAGGUGAAAUGCUCCCUGGGGAGAUGGUAGUGACUGGUAGGAGGGAUGAGUUCUGACAGUGCUGUCUUCCUGGAUAUGUGUGCUGGUUGCAUAGGUGUGCUCAAUUCGUAAAAAUUUACAAAACUGUGCUCUUAGGCUUUGGACAGUUUUUCUAUGUAUGUAUGUUACACUUUAAUAAAACAGUAAAUAUUCGCCAAUCAAUAGAUAGUAAAUUUUAUUCAUUCAGAAGAGAGUAAUUU